rnacentral:rRNA from 1 species
CCUACGGGGAGCAGCAGUGGGGAAUAUUGGGCAAUGGAGGCAACUCUGACCCAGCAACGCCGCGUGAAUGAUGAAGGUCUUCGGAUUGUAAAGUUCUUUUCUAAGGGAAGAAGAAAGUGACGGUACCUUAGGAAUAAGCCUCGGCUAACUACGUGCCAGCAGACGCGGUAAUACGUAGGCGGCAAGCGUUAUCCGGAAUGACUGGGCGUAAAGGGUGCGUAGGUGGUUUGACAAGUUAGUAGCGCAACUCCGGAGCUCAACUUCGGAACUACUACUAAAACUGGCGGACUUGAGUGCAGGAGGGGCAAUCGGAAUGCGUGGUGUAGCGGUGGAAUGCAUAGAUAUUAGGAAGAACACCAGUGGCGAAGGCAGAUUGCUAGACUGUAACUGACACUGAGGCACGAAAGCGUGGGGAGCAAACAGGAUUAGAUACCCCGGUAGUC